AUGAAAGACUGGAUCAAGCUGGGAGAUGUGAUGCCACACAAUAUUAAACAAUUGAAGAGACUGAACUAGGUCAUUUUUCCAGUCAGCUAUACUGAUAAAUUCUACAAGGAUGUGUUAGAGGUUGGUGAGCUAGCAAAACUUGCAUAUUUCAAUGAUAUAGCUAUAGGUGCAAAGUGCUGCAGGGUGGAUCAUUCACAGAAUCAAAAGAGACUUUACAUCAUGACACUAGGAUGCCUUGCACCUUACGGAAGACUAAGAAUAGGAACUAAAAUGUUAAAUCAUGUCCUAAACAUCUGUGAGAAGGAUGGCACUUUUGACAACAUCUAUCUGCAUGUCCAGAUCAGCAAUGAGUCAGCAAUUGACUUCUACAGGAAGUUUGGCUUUGAGAUUAUUGAGACAAAGAACUACUAUAAGAAGAUAGAGCCUGCAGACGCGCAUGUGCUUCAGAAAAACCUCAAAGUCCCAUCUGGUCAGAAUGCAGAGACACAGAAGACAGACAACUGAACAAAUCACAAAUGAACUUUCUUGCACUUGCUUGUCGCCAAAAAAAAGCAUU